rnacentral:rRNA from 1 species
GAUGAACGCUAGCUACAGGCUUAACACAUGCAAGUCGCGCGGCAGCAUGGGGGUUGCUUGCAACCCCUGAUGGCGACCGGCGCACGGGUGAGUAACGCGUACCCAACCUGCCCUUCACCUCGCUAUAACCCGGCGAAAGUCGGACUAAUACCGAACGUUGUCCAUUGACGGCAUCCGAUUAGGACGAAAGGCUUGGCGGUGAACGGGCGGGGUGGCGUCCGAUUAGCUUGACGGCGGGGUAACGGCCCUCCGUGGCUACGAUCGGUAGGGGUUCUGAGGGGAGGGUCCCCCACACGGGAACUGAGACACGGUCCAGACACCUACGGGAGGGAGCAGUGAGGAAUAUUGGUGAGUGGACGUAAGCCUGAUCCAGCCAAGUAGCGUGCAGGAUGGCGGCGCUAGGGGUUAUGAACUGCUGUUAUGCGGGGAUAAAGUGGCCCGCGGGUGGGCUUUUGAAGGUACCGCAUGAAUAAGGACCGGCUAAUUCCGUG